rnacentral:rRNA from 1 species
AGACUGCAGGCUGCAACUCGCCUGCACGAAGUCGGAAUUGCUAGUAAUCGUAGGUCAGCAUACUACGGUGAAUACGUUCCCGGGCCUUGUACACACCGCCCGUCACACCAUGGGAGUCGAUAACGCCCGAAGUCAGUGACCCAACCGAGAGGAGGGAGCUGCCGAAGGCGGGAUGGAUAACUGGGGUGAAGUCGUAACAAGGUAUC